ACCCCCUUUGGUGCAGUGGUAGCAUAUCCCAUCCGAUCGACGACAAGUAGCAGUGCGUUGAGGAUAUCCUGGAAGACCUGGGUUCAAUUCCUAGAAGGGGUA